rnacentral:rRNA from 1 species
ACAAAAACAUGUCCUUUUGAUUAUAAUUUAAGGUCUGGUCUGCCCACUGAAAUUUUAAAUGGCCGCGGUAUUUUGACCGUGCAAAGGUAGCAUAAUAAUUAGUUUCUUAAUUAGAAGCUGGUAUGAAAGAUUGAAUGAGAAAAUAGCUGUCUCAAAUUAAAUUUUUUAAAACUUUAUUUUUAAGUUAAAAAGCUUAAAUAUAUUUAAAAGACGAGAAGACCCUAUAGAGUUUAAUUUAAUUUAUUUUUAAAAAAUUAUUAAUUUAAUUUUUUUAUAAAAGUAAAUUUAAUUUUGUUGGGGAGAUAGAAAAAUUUAUUAAACUUUUUUUAUAUUAAAACAUUAAUUAAUGAUUUUUUGAUCCAAAUUUUUUGAUUAAAAGAUAAAAUUACCUUAGGGAUAACAGCGUAAUUUUUUUUGAGAGUUCUUAUCGAAAAAAAAGAUUGCGACCUCGAUGUUGGAUUAAAGUUAAAUUUUGGUGUAGAAGCUAAAAAUUUAGGUCUGUUCGACCUUUGAAACUUUACAUGAUCUGAGU